GAUGAACGCUGGCGGCGUGCCUAAUACAUGCAAGUAGAACGCUGAAGCUUGGUGCUUGCACCGAGCGGGUGAGUUGCGAACGGGUGAGUAACGCGUAGGUAACCUGCCUCUUAGCGGGGGAUAACUAUUGGAAACGAUAGCUAAUACCGCAUAAAAGUCGACAUUGCAUGAUGUUGACUUGAAAGGUGCAAUUGCAUCACUAAGAGAUGGACCUGCGUUGUAUUAGCUAGUUGGUGAGGUAACGGCUCACCAAGGCGACGAUACAUAGCCGACCUGAGAGGGUGAUCGGCCACACUGGGACUGAGACACGGCCCAGACUCCUGCGGGAGGCAGCAGUAGGGAAUCUUCGGCAAUGGGGGCAACCCUGACCGAGCAACGCCGCGUGAGUGAAGAAGGUUUUCGGAUCGUAAAGCUCUGUUGUAAGAGAAGAACGAGUGUGAGAGUGGAAAGUUCACACUGUGACGGUAACUUACCAGAAAGGGACGGCUAACUACGUGCCAGCAGCCGCGGUAAUACGUAGGUCCCGAGCGUUAUCCGGAUUUAUUGGGCGUAAAGCGAGCGCAGGCGGUUAGAUAAGUCUGAAGUUAAAGGCUGUGGCUUAACCAUAGUACGCUUUGGAAACUGUUUAACUUGAGUGCAGAAGGGGAGAGUGGAAUUCCAUGUGUAGCGGUGAAAUGCGUAGAUAUAUGGAGGAACACCGGUGGCGAAAGCGGCUCUCUGGUCUGUAACUGACGCUGAGGCUCGAAAGCGUGGGGAGCAAACAGG
rnacentral:rRNA from 1 species